rnacentral:misc_RNA from 1 species
UCCGGUUUAACACCGGCGGUCUCCUUAGAGUACCCAACUGAAUGAUGGUAACUAAGGACAAGGGUUGCGCUCGUUAAGGGACUUAACCCGACAUCUCACGAUACGAGCUGACGACAGCCAUGCAGCACCUAAACCACAGGUCCCCGAAGGGAAAACCCUAUCUCUAGGGCUGUCCUGUGUUGUCUAACCCAGGUAAGGUUCUUCGCGUUGCAUCGAAUUGAACCACAUGCUCCACCGCUUGUGCGGGCCCCCGUCAAUUCCUUUGAGUUUUAACCUUGCGGCCGUACUUCCCAGGCGGGGUACUUAAUGCGUUAGCGUCGGCACUGCAGGGGUCAAUUCCCGCAACACCUAGUACCCAUCGUUUACGGCGUGGACUAC